AUUUUUAUUUCUAUUUAUUCAUAUAUGAAGUUUUAUGAUUUUGGAAGAUUCUCCCUGUUCUUUUCAAAAACUUUCACAAUUUCAAAAGCACCCUUCGUCGGCCGAUACGUGUCAUUGUCAUAUCACUUUAUUAAAACUUAAAAAUAAUCUAAAGUAAAAAUUAUAAAAAAAAAACAAAAACAAAAAACAAAAAACAAAAACCUUAAUAGUUAAGACAGCAUGUUUGUCCUCGAGUGAAUAAAUGAAAAGGACCCACACCAAGAUUAUGACAGCAAAGCCAACGCACUUUUCUCCUAAUCUUCCUCCGGAUUCUGGAUUUCCACCAAAUCUCUGCUUCUCUCCCAGACAAGGACCCAGUUUUGCUUCAGGGUGGUUGAUAGUUGCAGAAGAGAAGAUAAAACAAGGGCUCCUGAAGAAAUCCUGGGUGAAGAAGGUUGAAGAAAGUGAUGGGUCAUCACCACCACCACCACCACCACGAUGAUGAUGAGCAUGGUCUCCUCUUGCUGUGCUGUUGCUGGCCAUGCUUGGUGGUGUCCUCUAUCUUUAGAGGAAUAGGGAGAUGCGUCUCCGCGGCCGGUUAUUCUCUGAUGCAGUGCUUCGGAUUUGACUGCCGCCACCAUCACCAUUGUCAUUUCCACUGAUCAUUCUUCAUUGCUUUGAGACUUGAUUUGGGAGGUCGAAUUCAUGUGGGGUUUUAUUUAUCUUUCAGGGUUUUUUUUUUUUUUUUUGAAGACGAAAUCUGAUCAACAAAUAGUUGAUAUUGUUGGGUUUUGCAGUUUCUCUUAGCUUUUGAUGCUUCCGUUUCAGCAGUCUGUUACCCAAGAAAUUUGAAUCGGUUUUACAAAAGCUUGCUUCCCA